AAAUGCAGGAUUCUAUUCCUCAGGGCAACGUCUAAACAGAGCAUCCUUAUUCGGGUCGGCACAAAUGGAAGAUGAACUGAACCACACACUGACUUCUGGCCCAAAAUACUAUGCUGCUGGUGUUACAUUUCUAAAGCACAGGCCUCCCUCUUAUGUUCCUCUGCCAGCCUUUCCAUUGCGUAUGAGACACAUCCCUAAGUUCACAUGGAGAUAACCAAGGCCCUUCGCCAACUGGACAGCACCCGGCGGCUCCUACCUGGCCACUGUGCUUAGCGGUCCUGGCUUUGCCACAGCCUCUGAACAUUCGCAGAGCUCUGCCCUCGCUCCACAGCCGUCUCCCGCCUCUGAACAUUUGCAGAGCUCUGCCCUCGCUCCACAGCCGUCUCCUGUGGAUGGUCCCAGUUUCACCACAGCCUCUCAACAUUUGCAGAGCUUUGCCCUCGCUCCACAGCCAUCUCCUGUGGAUGGUCCCAGUUUCACCAGAGCCUCUCAACAUUUGCAGAGCUCUGCCCUCGCUCCACAGCCGUCUCCUGUGGGGUGUCCGAGCUUCGCCACAGCCUCUGAACAUUCGCAGAGCUCUGCCCUUGCU
ensembl:lncRNA novel transcript